UUUAUUUAUAACAGAUAAAUAACUUAGUGAAGUAUAGUUAGGAAUGGCAAAAUCUUUAUUAGAAGUGAAUUACUGUUUCUGAUACCCGUAACAUUAAAGGGUCAAAUAUUGUAUAAAGUUUAACUUCCUCUUUAUAUUUCCACAAAGUUAGAGAACAAGAAUGAUUCUUAAAAAAAAAAAAAAAAAAAAAAAAAAAAAAAAAGGCAACAACCGCGAAGCAAAGUAGAGUAUGCAUUUUUUGAUCAAAAUAAUUUAAAAAGUCAAAAUGAAGGUUUUUUCUCCGGUGGAGGGGAGGGAUAAGGAACGAGAAAGAUGUUUGUCCUCAGGAGGCAUUAUUUGAAACAGACCCAAUAUGAAACACUUUUUGAGGCAUAAUUUAGGUGCUUAUUUGUUAAAAAAAAAAGUUUCUGUUGAAAGCAGUCAACAUUUAACCUUGCACCAAUGCAUAAAGAGCACCUGAUUUCACAACAACAGGACGCAAAUGGAAUAAUUUAGCAUCAGUAAAGAUUGAGUAACUACUCAGUUCUCCUUUGAAGGCUUUGAAAGGCAUGUGAAUUAGCUCUCCACUUCGGUGAGCAUAUAGGAGCAGUGAAGGAUUUAAAAGUCUCCCUAGAGUCUUUAUGAAACAAACACCUAUUAAUCAUGUUCAUCUCUUCUUCCCAUCUCUUUUUUUUUUUCUUCUAAACUACUUGUUUCUCAUCAGUAGUAAAAAGUCAGUUGAAAAAUGUCCAGAUAUCUGAUUUGCAUAAGGGAUAUUUUAUAGGGCAGAGUUGUGUAAAAGUUAAACAAUAACAACACCCAAGCUCAUUAUGUUUGUUACACAUGUAUUUUAUGACCUUACCUAACAUCGAUUGCUAAUGGUCUAGUAGAAUUUGAGUUGAUAACUGUAAUCAGAGUCAAUUUAGAGUCAAAAAAGAAAGUCAUGCUUAAGCAUAGCUUCUUAAAUGUUAUCUUAAAAGAGGAAAGUAAAUACAAAUAAACGUGGGUUUGUGGGCAUAAAAGUUAGGAAAUUCAUGAGGAAUUUUUCUAAAAUAGCUGUCAAGUUAUCCUCCUGCACAUAGGCAAGUCCUUUCUCAUACAAAUCACUUGUCCUCUUCUGCCUAAAUAUAUUUAUGUCUUAGGCCCAAGGGAUGGGCACAUUUCCAGCUCAUACAAAAAUUUUAACCAUAUUGUUUUCUGAUACUAGAAAAACUGAAUUGUGCUCCUGAAGCUAAUUUAUGUCAACUCCCUUUGAAGGAGGCACAGAAUUAAGUAUUUGUUUAAAUGUAGAUAGUACAUGUGUAUCUUUGACAAGUAUGCCAUUAAGAUACAUUGAAGCAUAAUCAUUAAAAGGUGUGAUUACACAGAUAGAGACUCUGGCAGCAACAAAAUCAAUGUAUUCUGUAUUAUUAGAAAAACUAUGGAGGAACACAUUUUGAAAGUGUGUAAAAAAAAACCUUAAAAUUUUUGCUUUGAUCCCUGAAACCAGUAUUGGAACUUUCACUAGAUGUUUAAAAACUCUGCAGCCUUAAAGCCAAUAGACUAGAUUUGCCCUGAAAGAACCUUUUGAAAUAACAGUUAUGUGCAGCUGAAUAUAAUAAAAUAGAUGUUGAAAGAUCUUCAUGUUUAUAAUGUAUUUUUCCUUUUAAUAUGAAAAUAUUAAGAUAGAUAAUGCUGAUAAACUUGUCUUUUUAUUUUUGAGGAUCUACAAAUUAUUCAAAGAAUUGGAAAGUAUCAUUUUAAACAAUGUUUUAGUGUGUUUUAAAAUACACUGUAUCCUUUGAGCUGGUUACUUUUUUAAAAAAUUAGAAACCAGUUUAAUAUUGACCUCUGCACUGUGAAUACAAUUUAAAUGGGCUGGGGCAUUUACAGAUUUAUGUGGUCAGCUUUUCCCAAAGGCCUGCCUCAUUGGUACAUUUGUUAGUUGCUAACAAACAAACAAAAAAAUUCUAGUACUUAUUUUUUAGAUUGUAUAAGUACUUUUGCUUUUGUGCAGAGAAAGCUGAAGGAAAGUUUUCCUUUAGAUUGAAGAGUUCCUUGAACAUGCAUUGGGAGAAAGGGGGAAAAAAUACAGUUAAAUGCCCAUGCAUCCAGAAGUUUUUACUGGUAUACGUAUUGUGUUCUAGUGGGGUUCUAUUUUAUCCCUGCUCAUGGAAUACAUGCUCGUUUUCCAGAGAGAAGUUUAAAACCCUUAAAUAUUACCUAUACAUAAGAAACCAUCUUCUCUCUGUCCUCUCAUAUGGAUUCUUUGAUGGGUUAGGAUCUUAAAGCCUUGAGAUAAAUAUUAAUGAAAAUAGAAUGUAUCAUUUUAAAGCUAUUUUAACCACAGAUGGACAGUUGGGAGCUUAACUGAGUUACAUAUGGCAUUUGAAAGUAUAGGUCAAAAUUAUUUCUGUGAAUUUAUUCUCUUAUUAAAUAUCUUAGUAAGGCAUAGAUUGGGGCUUGGAAUUUAAAUGGUCAAGUUUUUACACAUUUAUGACCACAGAGUUUGGUGAAUUCAAACUGAAUCUUACAUGUUGUCAAAAGACCACAUUGAACAUUCAGAGGGGAUAACAGAGUUUUAAUUUUCAAAUUAAGCAUUUGGUCUAAUCCCUAAUAAUUUAUAAAUGGUCAUUGCUACAAUAAUUAAUAUAGGCAAAUACAUCCUUUUCCCUUCCUUACGUCAUAAAUUCUAUCUUGUAUGUGAGGAUUUUUAGAUAAAACUUACAUUCAUUUCAAUGGAGUUAGUGUCUUAGUAUGUGAGGAAAAGUGAAAUGCAAGUCACAUUAAAGAGCUUGGAGCAAUAGGAUUGAAAAUCAAUGAUACAAUGUUCUCUAAAAUACAAAAUUCAUGCUUAUGGUUUUGCACAAGUGUUUUGAAUUUUUCCCCCAAAACUUUGAUUCAAAACAUUUAGACUAAUUAGUACAAUGCCUAUUUAAGUAAUAGUUUCAACAUUAAGUACCAUUUUAAAAAUUUCAUUUUUCAGACAGUUGCAUCAAGGAAAUGCCAAAUAUAAAAAUUCAACAUGAUGUAACAAUAAACAAAAUUAAAUAUUUCAAAUCUAAAUGGUCAGGUUAAAUUUUCACACUACUAAGAAGCUGAGUUUCUUAAAAAGGUAAAUUUCAAAGCAUUUCCUUUGAAAUUAAGAAAGUAUAAUUUUGUUCAACUUUGCAAAUAGGAAAUUCUAUAUUCAAAAUAUUGUUUAAAAAAGAAUAUUCUUGAAUUUCUGAAGUGAGAUUUGGGGGUUGACUUUGUUAGCUACUUGAAUUAGAAUGAGAAAACUUUGUAACAUUAAAGGAAUGUACAUAAGAAUCAAAUGAUAUUUUUUAAUAUCAAAUCUUUGUAUCUAACCAGUCUAUGGGUUUAAAAGGAUUUUCUGCAUAUUGGAAAAGUCAUGUCUGCCCUUUAGGGUUUCCUUUAGGAAGUUUGAUCCUUUAUUUUGAAGCCAAGCAACUAAAUAAGGAAAAUAAUCAUAGUCCACAAUACAUUUAAUGAGAAAAGAGCAGGUUGAAUUAUGUAUCUUGGAAUUUCUCAACAUAGAGAAAGAAAAACUAAUUAUUUACCUUUACAUUCAGUAAGUGAUUGAAGUGAUUACAAUGUAUUUGCCUUUUGUAUGGAUUACAGAAAGCAAGUUCACUUCUUAAGUCACAUAACUUAUAUUUACUUUUCCAGUGAUGUAAUAUGAAAAUUAGGAGCUGGCCAAUCAUCCAAUAAAUUCUGUCAAGUAGACAAUUUAGAUAAUAAACACAGUUUCCCCUUCAACAGCAGACUGGUUUUAUUCUUUACAUUAAUUGUAAAGAUCACCACUUUGAUUUGGUAUUAGCCAGAAUGACCCAUGGCUUAGUUAGAAGAUAAUGACAGUGACGCAUGGACACGUUGAAAUAAGUUUACUUUGAUGAAUGUAUCUCAUUAAUCCUUCCAUAUACAUAUGGACUAUCCUUUAAAUUGUUAGUCUAUUUUUAAAGAAAGAGAGAUUGAAUAUUUUUUAAAAGAAAGAAGGAAGGAAGAAAGGAAGAAAGAGAGUGAGGAAAAGUUUUAUCUUUGAGGAAAGAAAUAGCACAGAAAGCUAUUUACAGAAAGCUAUGUUACUCUCUAACAUAGUCCAUUACAGCAAGAUUCUCUUAGCCACACUGAGUUCAACUAAGCCUCACAUUCAUGCUCAAAAUGGACCAGAAGAUCAUCUGCUCUGUCCAGAACCUAACCAGUUUUAAGAUGGCUUAUAUUUAGACUACAACAAUAAAAAAUAUCUAACAGAUUUCUUUCCUUUUUGGUUCUGGUUUUGCAAUCUCUGUUCUAACACUGUAUUUUCUCAUACCUCAGAAAUUGAAGUUUUGACCAGGUCCAUGAAUUUUAGC
rnacentral:lncRNA from 1 species